CUCGAACAUGGGAGUUGACCUCAAUAUCAUGCGCCUCCCAAAAGUCAAGAGUCCUAGCUUCCACCUGAUUAGAAAAAGAUUGACAAUUUGAUUUUUUUUGCAAUUAAAUGAUGAUAAAGGUAAAAAAAGAUGAUCAGGAUCAACCAAGGGUCGACCGACAGGAGAAGGGGGGAGAGAGAAAGAGACUUCUUUUGGGGUCAACCAUGAAAAAA
rnacentral:lncRNA from 1 species